AGAGUUUGAUCCUGGCUCAGGAUGAACGCUGGCGGCGUGCCUAAUACAUGCAAGUCGAACGAAGGUCUAGCUUGCUAGAUCUUAGUGGCGAACGGGUGGGUAAUACAUAAAUAAUCUGCCCAUAUGACUGGGAUAACUAUUGGAAACGAUAGCUAAUACCGGAUAGGUUAAUUGGAGGCAUCUCUGAUUAAUUAAAGUAGGAUUUCUACACAAAUGGAUGAGUUUAUGGCGCAUUAGUUAGUUGGUGGGGUAACGGCCUACCAAGACGAUGAUGCGUAGCCGACCUGAGAGGGUGACCGGCCACACUGGGACUGAGACACGGCCCAGACUCCUACGGGAGGCAGCAGUAGGGAAUUUUCGGCAAUGGGCGCAAGCCUGACCGAGCAACGCCGCGUGAGUGAUUAAGGCCUUCGGGUUGUAAAGCUCUGUUGUAAGGGAAGAACAUUCAGGAUAGGAAAUGAUCUUGAACUGACGGUACCUUACCAGAAAGCCACGGCUAACUACGUGCCAGCAGCCGCGGUAAUACGUAGGUGGCAAGCGUUAUCCGGAAUUAUUGGGCGUAAAGGGUGCGUAGGCGGUUUAUUAAGUCUAUGGUGAAAGUGCGGGGCUCAACCCCGUAUGGCCAUAGAAACUGGUAGACUUGAGUGCAGGAGAGGGCAAUGGAAUUCCAUGUGUAGCGGUAAAAUGCGUAGAUAUAUGGAGGAACACCAGUGGCGAAGGCGGUUGCCUGGCCUGUAACUGACGCUGAGGCGCGAAAGCGUGGGGAGCAAACAGGAUUAGAUACCCUGGUAGUCCACGCCUUAAACGAUGGGUACUAGGUGCUGGUCCGCAAGGUUCAGUGCCAAAGCUAACGCAUUAAGUACCCCACCUGGGGAGUACGAUCGCAAGGUUGAAACUCAAAGGAAUUGACGGGGGCCCGCACAAGCAGUGGAGCAUGUGGUUCAAUUCGAUGCAACGCGAAGAACCUUACCCGGAUUUGAAAGGCCAGCGACAACCGAUGAAAGUCGGUCUUGUGGCAAUACACGCUGGUACAGGUGCUGCAUGGCUGUCGUCAGCUCGUGCCGUGAGGUGUUGGGUUAAGUCCCGCAACGAGCGCAACCCUUAUUGCCAGUUGCCAUCAUUUAGUUGGGCACUCUGGCGAAACUGCCCCGGAUAACGGGGAGGAAGGUGGGGAUGACGUCAAGUCCUCAUGGCCUUUAUGUCCAGGGCUACACACGUGCUACAAUGGCAGGUACAAACCGUCGCAAACCCGCGAGGGGGAGCUAAUCGGAAAAAGCCUGCCUCAGUUCGGAUUGUAGUCUGCAACUCGACUACAUGAAGCUGGAAUCGCUAGUAAUCGCAGAUCAGAACGCUGCGGUGAAUACGUUCCCGGGCCUUGUACACACCGCCCGUCACAUCACGAAAGUGGGUUGUACUAGAAGUCGGUGCGCUGACCGCAAGGGAGCAGCCGCCCAAGGUAUAACUCAUGAUUGGGGUGAAGUCGUAACAAGGUAACC
rnacentral:rRNA from 1 species